rnacentral:rRNA from 1 species
GGACUACCGGGGUAUCUAAUCCUGUUCGCUCCCCUGGCUUUCGCACCUGAGCGUCAGUUACCAGCCAGGACACUGCCUUCGCCUUUGGUAUUCCUCCGGAUAUCUACGCAUUUCACCACUCCACCCGGAAUUCUAUGUCCCUCUCUGGUCCUCAAGUCUACCAGUUUUUGGAAACCUUGCCCGGUUAAGCCAGGCACUGUCACUCCAAACUUGGCAAACCGCCUGCGCGCGCUUUACGCCCAGUAACUCCGGACAACGCUUGCCCCCUACGUAUUACCGCGGCUGCUGGCAC